UAGCAGUAGACAUAGUGUCAUGUUCAAG
rnacentral:piRNA from 1 species